rnacentral:rRNA from 1 species
UUUAUUUGAUAGUACCUUACUACUUGGAUAACCGUGGUAAUUCUAGAGCUAAUACAUGCUAAAAACCCCAACUCACGAAGGGGUGUAUUUAUUAGAUUAAAAACCAAUGCCCUUCGGGGCUCUUUGGUGAUUCAUAAUAACUUUUCGAAUCGCAUGGCCUUGCGCCGGCGAUGGUUCAUUCAAAUUUCUGCCCUAUCAACUUUCGAUGGCAGGGUCUUGGCCUGCCAUGGUUACAACGGGUAACGGAGGGUUAGGGCUCGACCCCGGAGAAGGAGCCUGAGAAACGGCUACUACAUCCAAGGAAGGCAGCAGGCGCGCAAAUUACCCAAUCCCGAUUCGGGGAGGUAGUGACAAUAAAUACUGAUACAGGGCUCUUUUGGGUCUUGUAAUUGGAAUGAGUACAAUUUAAAUCCCUUAACGAGGAACAAUUGGAGGGCAAGUCUGGUGCCAGCAGCCGCGGUAAUUCCAGCUCCAAUAGCGUAUAUUAAAGUUGUUGCAGUUAAAAAGCUCGUAGUUGAACCUUGGGCCUGGCUGGCCGGUCCGCCUCACCGCGUGCACUGGUUCGGCCGGGCCUUUCCCUCUGGGGAACCCUAUGGUCUUCACUGAUCGUAGCGGGGAACCAGGACUUUUACUGUGAAAAAAUUAGAGUGUUCAAAGCAGGCCUAUGCUCGAAUACAUUAGCAUGGAAUAAUAAAAUAGGACGUGUGGUUCUAUUUUGUUGGUUUCUAGGACCGCCGUAAUGAUU